rnacentral:rRNA from 1 species
CCCUUAGACGUUCUGGGCCGCACGCGCGCUACACUGACGAAGGCAACGAGCUUUCCUUUACCGAAAGGCACGGGUAAUCUUUUGAAACUUCGUCGUGCUGGGGAUAGAUCCUUGCAAUUUUUGAUCUUAAACGAGGAAUGCCUAGUAAGCGCAAGUCAUCAACUUGCGUUGAUUACGUCCCUGCCCUUUGUACACACCGCCCGUCGCUACUACCGAUUGAAUGGUUUAGUGAGGCCUUCGGAUCCGCGACUCGUUUGUGGAGAAGUUGGACAAACUCAGUCAUUUAGAGGAAGUAAAAGUCGUAACA